rnacentral:rRNA from 1 species
GCUGGCAGGCAUAUCACCCUGUAGCCCAAGACUGGUUACCCACUGAAGCUAAGCAGGGUUGAGCUGGUCAGUACCUGGAUGGGAGACCUCCUCUGCUGAUUGGCUUCGUCUUCU